UCAAGGUCUGGGAUGCCUCAAGUACCGGGGCCUGGGGCAGCGAGAGCUAUGACCUGACUUGACUCCCCGGCAAGACGUGGGCAGAUGGGGGGGGGGGGUGAGGGGCCCACUGGAUGGACUCGGACACGUAACACGCGAUUUACCAUCCAAACCAUCUGCGAGCCUGCCGUUCAGUGGUGUGGUGCUCAUCUGCGCUGCAGUACGAGCGGUUUCUGGAACACCUUUGCCCUGUCCAGGGAGAAGGACAAACGAACAUGUACAGAUGCCUGCCCCCUGCCAGAGCUGCGUUGCGUGCCUCACGGACGUUAUUUCCCACGAGCCCCUUGUCUGAGAUGAGCAAACCGAGGUGCAGAGAGAGAAAGUAAAUGGUCCAAGCCUCUGGCACUAAUCUGCUUUG